ensembl:snRNA U4 U4 spliceosomal RNA
AGCUUUGCUCAGUGGCAAUAUUAUGACCACGAGCUCCAUCUGAGGCAUGAUUACUGCUAAUUGAAAACUUUUCCCAAUGCAACUAUUGAAAUAUAGUUUGGAUUGGCAUUUUUUGGACAGUCUGUAUGGAA